CACCAGCAAUCAGCGACAUCGCGCCUGACAAAAGUUUUUCAAAUAAAAUAUUUCCACCCAAACGUCACUGCUGGUGCUGAGCUCGCGCGAUCGAGUGUGAAGUUUUUUUUGUGAUCUCAAUGAAAAAGGAUUUUUUUGAACUCACGCUGUACACAACAAGCUCUCUGAUCGAUCUGCAUGUCUUUUUCGGUGGAGGUGAUUUUUGUUGUUGUUAUUGUUGUGGCUGGCGACGAGAAGGCUCUCAUUUACGCUAGGUAUCUCAUAGACAGAAUGAGCCUGGUUUUUACGCCAAGCUGAUGUUUUCAGCAGCAGUCCGCUGUGGAGAAAAUUCAAGCAGUCUUAGGGGCCUGAAGUUUUUGCUGCUUCUUACCGGAUCGACAGUGGGAAAGAAGGUAUGUGCUGCCGUAGCUCAGAGAAAUCUUUGGCCAGGGUAGCCAAGAUGGCAUCACCCACAUCCUCCUCUCCUUCAGGUUCACUUGUAGGUUUGGCAUUCAUGCUUGACAUCUCCUUCAGUACUGUGUAGGUCUUCUCCUAUUGGUUUUUGUCUGCCCAUACCAUUUGCACUGCUCAGUGAUGUCGGCGACAGUCGCCUCCAGCUCACCAUUUUCCAUUUUUUCUUUACUUUUUGGAUACGCUGUGUGUCCUUGAGGUAGCAUUUGAGGCUGACCAGUUCUUCUACCUUUGUUUUGCAAACAUUCUUGUCUAGUGUUCAGUGAUCGAACCCAGUCAACGUUGAAGCACCCUUGUUAUUUCUUUCCGUUUCUUUUUAUUCUUGUACACCGCUGCCUGCAACCGUGCAUUUUAAUAGGUUUGCGAGAAUCUCUUUUCACCUGCAGCAACCAGAGUUUGAAAGUACCGACACAAACUGGAAGCAUGCCCAGUUUCCAGACAACUAGCUGCUUCAAAAAUUCUUAUGUCAGAUGAGUGACUGGUUGCACAGCCGACAUUAUGGUGACAUAAUGUGUCCUUGUAGUUCUGUUUAUUAUUACUUGUAUAUUUCACUGUUCGCGUCAAACUCGGCUAAAGGCCGAGUUUUCCGCAUCCGUAGGAACGCCAACACCCUUCAAGGAUCGUGUGUUUUUUUAUAGCAGUGUAUUUUGGUAUUUGCUUUGACCAUCAGUCGUUGGCUGAUGCUGGUCAUACCUUCAACAUGUUGACGCGUUUUUCAAGGCAUUCAAUAUACGUAGGCCGCAAGAUUCUAUCUUUUCAUACCGAAUACCGAUGGCUAGUGCUUCCCCACUAGCUGCGCAAGUGUCACAUCUGGCUGCGGCCAACUACCCUUUAA